rnacentral:misc_RNA from 1 species
AAGUCGUAACAAGGUUUCCGUAGGUGAACCUGCGGAAGGAUCAUUAACACGUAUCCAACGUUAAACAACCCUGUGAACUUUCAACGCUCUUGUAGCCCCAGAGGAACAGCAAUCCCGGUAAAUCAAUGGCGGAAAAGUUUUGAUUCGGGACCUCUGUCCAAAAGGUAUCAAGUUACAAUCGAGACAGGGCGCGCGCGCCCCCUCAUUCACCCCUUGCCCUCUCAAGCCUCGCGGAAACGCCGGGCAUAAAAACCGAACAACUGUUAACAAUGGAUAUCUUGGUUCUC